UGGGGAAUAUUGCGCAAUGGGGGAAACCCUGACGCAGCAACGCCGCGUGAAGGAUGAAGGCUUUCGGGUUGUAAACUUCUUUGAUCGGGGACGAAGAUGACGGUACCCGAGGAACAAGCCACGGCUAACUACGUGCCAGCAGCCGCGGUAAUACGUAGGUGGCAAGCGUUGUCCGGAAUUACUGGGUGUAAAGGGCGUGUAGGCGGGAAGGCAAGUCAGAUGUGAAAUCCCAGGGCUUAACUCUGGAGCUGCAUCUGAAACUGUUUUUCUUGAGUACUGGAGAGGAAAGUGGAAUUCCUAGUGUAGCGGUGAAAUGCGUAGAGAUUGGGAGGAACACCAGUGGCGAAGGCGGCUUUCUGGACGAUAACUGACGCUGAGGCGCGAAAGCGUGGGUAGCAAACAGG
rnacentral:rRNA from 2 species